rnacentral:rRNA from 1 species
CCUGGUGGCGAGCGGCGGACGGGUGAGUAAUGCAUAGAAAUCUGCCCGGUAGUGGGGGAUAACUUGGGGAAACCCAGGCUAAUACCGCAUACGUCCUACGGGAGAAAGCAGGGGAUCUUCGGACCUUGCGCUAUCGGAUGAGUCUAUGUCGGAUUAGCUUGUUGGUAAGGUAAUGGCUCACCAAGGCGACGAUCCGUAGCUGGUCUGAGAGGAUGAUCAGCCACAUCGGGACUGAGACACGGCCCGAACUCCUACGGGAGGCAGCAGUGGGGAAUAUUGGACAAUGGGCGAAAGCCUGAUCCAGCCAUGCCGCGUGUGUGAAGAAGGCCUUCGGGUUGUAAAGCACUUUCAGUGGGGAAGAAAGCCUUGGGGCUAAUACCCUCGAGGAAGGACAUCACCCACAGAAGAAGCACCGGCUAACUCCGUGCCAGCAGCCGCGGUAAUACGGAGGGUGCGAGCGUUAAUCGGAAUUACUGGGCGUAAAGCGCGCGUAGGCGGUCUGAUAAGCCGGUUGUGAAAGCCCCGGGCUCAACCUGGGAACGGCAUCCGGAACUGUCAGGCUAGAGUGCAGGAGAGGAAGGUAGAAUUCCCGGUGUAGCGGUGAAAUGCGUAGAGAUCGGGAGGAAUACCAGUGGCGAAAGCGGCCUUCUGGACUGACACUGACGCUGAGGUGCGAAAGCGUGGGUAGCAAACAGGAUUAGAUACCCUGGUAGUCCACGCCGUAAACGAUGUCGACUAGCCGUUGGGCUCCUUGAGAGCUUUGUGGCGCAGUUAACGCGAUAAGUCGACCGCCUGGGGAG